rnacentral:misc_RNA from 1 species
UCAAACUUGGUCAUUUAGAGGAAGUAAAAGUCGUAACAAGGUCUCCGUAGGUGAACCUGCGGAGGGAUCAUUACCAGAGAUGGCGGGCCCCCGCGCCCCCGUCCCCAACCCUUUGUUGACAACACCUCUUUACCUCGGGGGCAGAGCGGCCGCCGCCGCCCCCGGAGGACCACCAAACGCUGUCUCCGUACGUCAGAGUCUUUGAUAAAUGAAUGAAAACUUUCAACAACGGAUCUCUUGGUUCUGGCAUCGAUGAAGAACGCAGC